rnacentral:rRNA from 1 species
UCCCUGCCCUUUGUACACACCGCCCGUCGCUACUACCGAUUGAAUGGCUCAGUGAGGCUUUCGGACUGGCCUAGAGAGGUGGGCAACUACCACUCAGGGCCGGAAACUUGGUCAAACUUGGUCAUUUAGAGG